UACGUAGGGUGCAAGCGUUGUCCGGAAUUAUUGGGCGUAAAGAGCUCGUAGGCGGUUUGUCGCGUCUGCUGUGAAAUCUGGGGGCUCAACCCCCCAGCCUGCAGUGGGUACGGGCAGACUAGAGUGCGGGUAGGGGAGAUUGGAAUUCCUGGUGUAGCGGUGAAAUGCGCAGAUAUCAGGAGGAACACCGGUGGCGAAGGCGGGUCUCUGGGCCGAUACUGACGCUGAGGAGCGAAAGCGUGGGGAGCGAACAGG
rnacentral:rRNA from 1 species